AACGAACGCUGGCGGCAGGCCUAACACAUGCAAGUCGAACGCUGUAGCAGUACAGAGUGGCAGACGGGUGAGUAACGCGUGGGAACAUGCCCUUCGGUUCGGAAUAACUCAGGGAAACUUGAGCUAAUACCGGAUACGCCCUUAGGGGGAAAGAUUUAUUGCCGAAGGAUUGGCCCGCGUCCGAUUAGCUAGUUGGUGAGGUAAAGGCUCACCAAGGCGACGAUCGGUAGCUGGUCUGAGAGGAUGAUCAGCCACACUGGGACUGAGACACGGCCCAGACUCCUACGGGAGGCAGCAGGGGGGAAUAUUGGACAGUGGGCGCAAGCCUGAUCCAGCCAUGCCGCGUGAGUGAUGAAGGCCCUAGGGUUGUAAAGCUCUUUCGCCAGGGGCGAUAAUGACGGUACCUGGAUAAGAAGCCCCGGCUAACUUCGUGCCAGCAGCCGCCGCCG
rnacentral:rRNA from 1 species